rnacentral:rRNA from 1 species
AUGGACCGCGAACCCUCCGUCUCCGACGAGGACGACGACCUCGAGACCCUCGUCCCCCAGAACCACACAAAGCCCCCUUCCCCCUCCUCCCGCUCCCGGGCCUCCUUCGGCAUCUCCAUCUCCGGCUUCCGCCCCGCGCUUCCCUCCUCGGCCACAUCCCUCGGCCGCGUCCUCUGGUCCCGCCGAUAUCUCCUCAUCUGCGUCUGCCUCCCCGUCCUCUUCAUCAUCCUCUUCUUCUCCCUCGGCGGCGCCUCGUCUCUCCCCGCCUCCAUCCGGCUACCCUCCGCCUCGCCCGCCGCCGACCUUGCCUCCUCCCGCAUGCGCGAGGCCGAGCUCCACGCCCUCUACCUCCUCCGCUCCCAGCGCUCCGGCCUCCUCAGCCUCUUCAACCGCACUGCCGCCCCUGAGCCCACCAACAGCUCUACCGCCGCCCCUGUCUCGCUGUCUGAUCUCCAGACUGCGCUCCUCAGCCAGAUCAAGAUCAACCGCGAGAUCCAGGAGGCGCUCCUCUCAACGCACCACUCUGGGGUCGGCAAUGCUACGGAUGAUGCUUUGGAUCUUGAUCUGCCAGGUCCCGGAUGCAGGAGGAGGGAACUGCCGUACAACCGGCGGACGAUAGAGUGGAAUCCCAAGAAGAAUCGGUACCUGUUCGCCAUCUGUCUCUCUGGGCAAAUGUCGAACCACUUGAUUUGCUUGGAGAAGCACAUGUUCUUCGCGGCACUUCUGGGCCGGAUCUUGGUGGUUCCCAGCCAGAAGGUGGAUUAUCAGUACGACAAGGUGCUUGAUAUCAACCACAUUAAUGAUUGUAUUGGAAGGAAGGUUGUGAUUACUUAUGAGGAAUUUGUGGAUAAAAGGAAGAAAGUGAGCAUCGACCAAUUUAUAUGUUAUGUGGCGUCGCCCCCGUGUUACAUGGAUGAGGAGCAUAUUAAGAAGUUGAAGGCAGUGGGGAUUUCGAUGGGGAAGAUUGAGGCUGCUUGGCCAGAGGAUGCAAAACUGAAAGUGCCAAAGAAGAGAUAUGUCGCAGAUAUCACGGCAAAGUUCACGACAGACGCUGAGGUGCUUGCAGUCGGUGAGUUGUUCUAUGCUGAUGCUGAGGAAGAGUGGAUUAUGCAGCCUGGUGGUCCAUUGGCUCACAAAUGCAAGACUUUGAUCCAACCAAGCAGGCUCAUAAUGCUUACCGCACAGCGAUUUGUGCAGACUUUCUUGGGUGGAAACUACAUUGCUUUGCAUUUUCGUCGACAUGGCUUUCUUAAGUUCUGUAAUGUGAAGAAAGAGAGCUGCUUCUUUCCCAUCCCUCAGGCAGCAGGAUGCAUCUUGCGGAUCAUUGAGAAAGCUAAUGCCCCAGUAAUAUAUCUGUCGACUGAUGCUGCUGGGAGUGAGACGAAUCUUCUGCAGUCGUUGGUUGUUUUCGAUGACCGGCAAGUACCUCUUGUGAGAAGACCAGAGCAUGAAGGUUCAGAGAAAUGGGAUGCCUUGUUGUACAGAAAACACAUGGGUGGAGAUGAUCAGGUCGAGGCCAUGCUCGACAAGACAAUCUGUGCUUUGUCGAACGUUUUCAUAGGGUCAUCAGGCUCCACCUUCACAGAGGAUAUCUUCCGGCUACGGAGGGGCUGGGGGUCGAUGUCCUACUGCGACGAGUACCUCUGCCAGGGUGAGCUACCCAACUACAUAGCGGAGCUAGAGUGA